rnacentral:lncRNA from 1 species
GGUAGGGCACUGCCAUUGCCGGGGUCUUCUAGCCAUUGAAAGAUUCAUUAUCGAUAUGUUUUAGGUUGUUUUCCUAUUGAAACAUGCCUACAUUUUUAUUGUAUUUGAUUUUUUUGCUGUAAUGUGUAUCGACUCUUUCGAUUUGCAUCAAAAGAAUUCUUUCCUUAAGACUUUGCCACGUCUUAAUUUCUUUCCGUCCUUCGCCUCUGCCUUACAGUAUCCUAUGAAAAGGGAUCCGGAAACAGUUUGAGACGGAAAUUGUUCUAACCACUUUCACAGUUAUACAUGAAUACUCCCUCGACGCCGGAUCGGCAUGUUUGACGAGAUUACUGUAUUUGUUACUCAAAUGUGUUUUUUAAAGGGGGAUAACCCCUGGCUUGGCUCAGCAUCGGUCAAUGCACAUAACCAUAUAUUCUAAAAAAAAGCAAAAUCUAGCAACCGAACAACAUCAAUCAGGGAAAAAGCAAAAAGAAAAUCCGAGGACACAUAGCUCGCAACAAUAACUCCACACCAGAUAUCCACUAACUCUAUGAUAAAAGACAAAAUCAAAACAAAAAAUACACAACUCAUAGGCCACGCUUGCAAGAAGGAAUCGCCGCACGUGCCCAAUGAUGACAAGUCCAACACAAGAUUAAACUCUGGAUUCUCGUCCCCGAAUCUAAGCUUCAACCCACCAUCUUAAAUAAGGACACAACGCAGGCGCGUCUCGACAUAGCCUAAUCAGACAUCUUGUGUUUUCAUCGGAGUGCAUAAGGUCGUCGUUGAAGCCGUAUGUACCAUCAUCCUUUAUCCGGUUAUCGAUGCCUCGAUAGCCGGCUACCUCUAGAGAAGACACUAGAAGACAGACGACCCAUACCGCGUGUCUCCUGCCAGUAUCGCACCACCUUCGAUCCAGCAGCAACAAUAACUCCACACCAGAUAGCCACUAACUCUAUGAUAAAAGACAAAAUCAAAACAAAAAAUACACAACUCAUAGGCCACGCUUGCAAGAAGGAAUCGCCGCACGUGCCCAAUGAUGACAAGUCCAACACAAGAUUAAACUCUGGAUUCUCGUCCCCGAAUCCAAGCUACAACCCACCAUCUUAAACAAGGACACUACGCAGGCGCGUCUCGACAUAGCCUAAUCAGACAUCUUGUAUUUUCAUCGGAGUGCAUAAGGUCGUCGUUGAAGCCGUAUGUACCAUCAUCCUUUAUCCGGUUAUCGAUGCCUCGAUAGCCGGCUACCUCUAGAGAAGACACUAGAAGACAGNNNNNNNNNNNNNNNNNNNNNNNNNNNNNNNNNNNNNNNNNNNNNNNNNNNNNNNNNNNNNNNNNNNNNNNNNNNNNNNNNNNNNNNNNNNNNNNNNNNNUUUUCAUCGGAGUGCAUAAGGUCGUCGUUGAAGCCGUAUGUACCAUCAUCCUUUAUCCGGUUAUCGAUGCCUCGAUAGCCGGCUACCUCUAGAGAAGACACUAGAAGACAGACGACCCAUACCGCGUGUCUCCUGCCAGUAUCGCACCACCUUCGAUCCAGCAGCAACAAUAACUCCACACCAGAUAGCCACUAACUCUAUGAUAAAAGACAAAAUCAAAACAAAAAAUACACAACUCAUAGGCCACGCUUGCAAGAAGGAAUCGCCGCACGUGCCCAAUGAUGACAAGUCCAACACAAGAUUAAACUCUGGAUUCUCGUCCCCGAAUCCAAGCUUCAACCCACCAUCUUAAACAAGGACACUACGCAGGCGCGUCUCGACAUAGCCUAAUCAGACAUCUUGUAUUUUCAUCGGAGUGCAUAAGGUCGUCGUGGAAGCCGUAUGUACCAUCAUCCUUUAUCCGGUUAUCGAUGCCUCGAUAGCCGGCUACCUCUAGAGAAGACACUAGAAGACAGACGUCCCAUACCGCGUGUCUCCUGCCAGUAUCGCACCACCUUCGAUCCAGCAGCAACAAUAACUCCACACCAGAUAGCCACUAACUCUAUGAUAAAAGACAAAAUCAAAACAAAAAAUACACAACUCAUAGGCCACGCUUGCAAGAAGGAAUCGCCGCACGUGCCCAAUGAUGACAAGUCCAACACAAGAUUAAACUCUGGAUUCUCGUCCCCGAAUCCAAGCUUCAACCCACCAUCUUAAACAAGGACACUACGCAGGCGCGUCUCGACAUAGCCUAAUCAGACAUCUUGUAUUUUCAUCGGAGUGCAUAAGAUCGUCGUUGAAGCCGUAUGUACCAUCAUCC